UACGUAGGCAGCGAGCGUUGUUCGGAGUUACUGGGCGUAAAGGGUGUGUAGGCGGUUCUUUAAGUUUGGGGUGAAAUCUCCCGGCUCAACCGGGAGGGUGCGCCGAAUACUGAGGGACUCGAGUGCGGGAGAGGGAAGUGGAAUUCCUGGUGUAGCGGUGAAAUGCGUAGAUAUCAGGAGGAACACCGGUGGUGUAGACGGCUUUCUGGACCGUAACUGACGCUGAGACACGAAAGCGUGGGUAGCAAACAGG
rnacentral:rRNA from 1 species